GUAAGUACUGAGAACUGCAUUCCCAGAGUUUUAACAACUUACAGAAAAGUGAAUUGAAUUUCUGAAGCCUGGGAAAUGAUAAGAGAGAGGUGAAAGAGAGAUAGUGUGCUAAUGACCCUAGAGAGUUUGAAAAACGUUAUGGUCAGGUCUUUUGAGAGAAUCUCCUAAAAGGAGAUAAUGGGCAUGGCUGAAUCUGUAAAGAAAGUAUCUUGCUAUCAAGUGCCUGAGAGCAUGGCAAUCAAGAACCAGCGGCAGUCAGCCAGAACCUGCCCCUGAAGUCUUGCUCUGUCCCCCAGGCUGGAGUGCUAUGACACAAUCUCGGCUCACAGAAACCUCUGCCUCCCAGACUCUGGUGGUCCUCUCGCCUCAGCCUCCUGCCUCAGUCUCCGGCCUCAGCUCCCCGAGUAGCUAUAGAUAAUUUAAUGGAGAACUGGCAUCACUACUUGAUCGAGUCUUCCAGCUCCUGAACACAAUGAAAAGUGCUCAUUAUAUCUUCCUGACAAAGGGAGCGGAGUCCGGAAUAUUCACAAUGAGUUUGUGCUACUCCUUGGGCCCCUGAGUGACUCUCAGAUGAAGGUUUUCAUUGGCCAUCUGUUGCUCAUGGGUCUCUGCCCUUGAAAUCUGCAGCUGUUGAACACAUGGACUACACUCUUUUAUCUUGAUCUGAGCCUGGAGUCCUCCUGGAUGGCUCUAUCCUAUUUCGUUUUUCAUGUAUUCCCCUGAUACCUGGCUGUGAUUCCCAUUUGAUUUCUCAUCUGGCUGAGGUCACACUAGGCUGCACUCAUAGUCCCAUUUAGUCCAUUCCAAGACAAACUUCUGAAACACUGACAAGCCAGCAUCAUCAGCUACAUUUUUAUCUUGCCAAGGGUUAUUCACAAUCUUAACAGCUGGCUCCUUAUGCUGAUAAAUCAACAGCCAAAAAAGUGGCUUGCUGUAUUUGCUGAUUUGAAUGAUUUUGAUGACCAGGGGAAAAUCAGAUUGCUACUCCACAGUGGGGGUGAGGAGUAUCUCAGAAGUGCAAAAGAUCCCCUGGGGCAUCCCUUAGUACUGUUCCUGUGCUAUAAUUAAAAAGGUAAAAUUACAAGUCAAUACAGGCAAAUCUGCUAGUGACCCACGCACUUUAAGAAUAAAGUUUGGAAUGAGCUUACCCCAUGAAAAAAAUAAACAAUUGAAGAUACCCACUGAAAAUAAAAGAAUAUAAACUUCAAGAAAGCAGUUUUAAAUACUAGUUGCAACCAUGUGACUACUUGAUAUACACAGUUCUUCCUAGUUUUGAUAUAAAUACAUCCGUAACAUUUCUUUUCUUUUUCAUUCCUAUAUAUAUAUAUUUGUAUGUAUU
rnacentral:lncRNA from 10 species